rnacentral:rRNA from 1 species
CCUACGGGUGGCAGCAGUCGAGAAUCAUUCACAAUGGGGGAAAGCCUGAUGGUGCGACGCCGCGUGGGGGAAUGAAGGUCUUCGGAUUGUAAACCCCUGUCAUGUGGGAGCAAAUUAAAAAGAUAGUACCACAAGAGGAAGAGACGGCUAACUCUGUGCCAGCAGCCGCGGUACUACAGAGGUCUCAAGCGUUGUUCGGAAUCACUGGGCGUAAAGCGUGCGUAGGCUGUUUCGUAAGUCGUGUGUGAAAGGCGCGGGCUCAACCCGCGGACGGCACAUGAUACUGCGAGACUAGAGUAAUGGAGGGGGAACCGGAAUUCUCGGUGUAGCAGUGAAAUGCGUAGAUAUCGAGAGGAACACUCGUGGCGAAGGCGGGUUCCUGGACAUUAACUGACGCUGAGGCACGAAGGCCAGGGGAGCGAAAGGGAUUAGAUACCCGAGUAGUC